CCGCGCUAGUCCGCGUAACGCCGUCACCGAAACGCUAUGCAUGUGCGCGCGCGUCCGUCUUGACAAUAACAAACAAUUAUUAAUGUUUUGAGUUUUGGUCGUCGUCGCUGAUCCGCGUACGCCGUCGUCGCGAUUAAUGAUUGUCGCCCGCUCGAAGCGAAAUUAUUAUCGUUGUAAUUUGUCGACCAACAAAAUCGAAAUAAAUUCAAUAAAAUCGCACUCGGCCCCGGGGGGCGCGCGCGCGCAAUCGUGCCCGUCGUCGCCGUCGCACUCGCGAGGUUUCUGCUGUACACAAUAUUCUGACAUCCGCACAUCGCACACAAAUAAUAAAUAACAAUUUAUUAUUAGUGUUAUUAUAUUGUUCGCCGUUCGAGAAACCUUAGUGCUGCAGUCGUGUUGGAAUGGUUUUUUUUAUUCCGUCGUAGAUUAUUGCGACCGUGAUAAUACGAGAAAAUUAAUAAAUACGUCCAAUGUAUACAAUUAUCGUUUUGGACGUUUAAGUAACAUUAUCUAUCCUGAAUCGAGUUACGUGGUGGUAUGCCAUUGUUUUCUGCGAGUAUCUGUGGUUGUGCAUACGAUUGUGUUAUUAUAUUAUGGUAACGAGAACUAGAUGAUCUUAAAUGGGUGUUACGGUUAAGAGCCCGUGGCGCGGUGAUUAUGGUAGUGAACAAAUCAGCGGGCGGUCGUACGCUCUCGCUGAGCACAACUGCCAACAGCACUGCUGCAGCAGUGGCGGGUAACCUGCAGUCCGGUGUACCAUUUCUGCCCAAAAGCCCAAGCUUUCAUAGUGGUUUGGAUCUACUUGCUGACCGUGAAAAGUCUCCAAUCAUUAUGUUUUGCGAUCCAACAAUGCACUUGCCCAGACUUCAUGAAGCCAAUGCAUCUGAAAGAGAACAGUUACUUAUUCAGAAAAUGCAACAGUGCUGUGUGUUAUUCGACUUUAUUUCAGAUCCACAAUCUGAUCUAAAAUGGAAAGAAAUCAAGCGAGAAACAUUACAUGAAAUGGUAGAUUAUUUGUCAUCUAAUCAUGGUAGUGUGCUUACUGAAGCUAUAUACCCUGAAGCUGUUAGAAUGUUUGGAGUAAAUCUAUUUCGCAGUCUGCCUCCAUCAAGCAAUCCUAAUGGUGCAGAGUUUGAUCCAGAGGAAGAUGAACCUCUAUUAGAAGCAGCCUGGCCUCAUUUACAACUAGUAUAUGAGUUCUUUCUUAGGUUUCUAGAGUCUCAAGACUUUCAGCCCCAUAUAGCAAAAAACUAUAUUGAUCAGAAAUUUGUUCUUCAGUUGUUAGAGUUAUUUGAUUCAGAAGAUCCACGAGAGAGAGACUUUUUGAAAACUAUACUGCAUCGCAUUUAUGGUAAAUUUUUAAGUUUGCGAGCGUAUAUACGAAAACAGAUAAACAAUAUAUUUUAUAGUUUUAUUUAUGAAACAGAGCAUCAUAAUGGCAUUGCAGAGCUUUUAGAAAUUUUAGGAAGUAUUGUCAAUGGUUUUGCAUUGCCUUUGAAAGAGGAACACAAGGUAUUCUUGCUAAAAGUUCUAUUGCCGUUACACAAAGUGAAAUCUUUAUCUGUAUAUCAUCCACAAUUGGCAUAUUGUAUUGUACAGUUCCUUGAAAAAGAUCCAUCUCUUACAGAACCAGUUAUCAGAAGUUUGUUAAAAUUUUGGCCUAAAACACAUUCUCCAAAAGAAGUUAUGUUUCUUAACGAAUUAGAAGAAAUUUUGGAUAUAAUUGAACCAUUGGAAUUUCGAAAAGUGCUAAAACCAUUAAUACAUCAAUUAGCUAGAUGUGUUUCCAGUCAACAUUUUCAAGUUGCAGAAAGAGCACUUUACUUUUGGAACAAUGAGUACAUAAUGUCACUGAUGUCUGAGAAUGUUGACGAGAUUUUGCCAAUCAUGUUUCCAGUGUUAUACAAAAAUUCUAAAACUCAUUGGAAUAAAAAUAUACAUGGUCUGAUGUACAAUGCAUUAAAAAUAUUUACUGAAACUAAUCCAGUACUAUUUCAUUCAUGUACACAACAAUUCAAAGAAGAUAGGAUGAUUGAAGUGGAGAAGUUAAAAAAACGAGAUGAAAAGUGGCAUCGAGUAGAAGAAUUGGCUAAAAGGAAUCCCAAUUUUACAGUAUCAAUUGAUAAUAGUUUGUCAUUUUAUACUGAUUUUGCAAGGUCUCCGAUGAACGAUUUAGACCCGACUAUUGAUUUGAAAAAUUUAGAAGAGGAUACUAAGUAUCAUAUUGAUACUGAUAACCGUAAAAAUCGAAAAGAAAAACCUUUAUUGAGACGUAAAUCUGAAUUACCACAUGACACAUAUACUUUGAGGGCAUUAAAUGAUCAUAAGAGAGCUGAUGAAUAUCUAGCUACACCACCUGAUGUUAAUAAAUGCUAGCUAAUCUUUUCCAUUGUGAUGACCUUUAUUAUUUCUAUACUCAGAGUCUAAACAACUAAGGAUUACUCAAAAAAAAAAAAAAAUAAAAAAAUAUUAUGGUAAUUCAUCUCAUUAGGGGUCAUUUAAUGUUGAGUGUAUCUUUGUUAGGAUUAACAUGUUAUAAGUAGUUCAACCACUAAAUUUUUCAAAAUGUGAAUGAAGAAAGUCAUGUGAAGUGAACGCACUUUAAUCUACUUCGGUUGUGUUAUUUAUUUUUAAAAUAAACAUAAAAUGUGUCAUUUA